GUUUGUCCCUUAGUGAAGGAUCUCUAUCCUUUCAUAUAUGUAUUCCAUAUAUAUGUAUCCCCUUAUUUUCUUUGACAAGGUAUAGGACUCAACUCUGCUUGUCUGCUUCCUAUUCUUUAGAACAGUUCUUGUGACCUGAGAGUGAAGAAGCACCUGGUGCCAAUCUGAGGAAAGGAUCUUCGCUGCCAGUUCUAAUACCACCCACAUCCUCUUCUUGAGGACAUGGGACUGAGCAGUGAGCAAUGUAACUGAAGAUCAAGGGGAAUGCGGAGGUUUCAGGCCAUCACACUGAUUUUGAUUUCCCCAUAUCCUGUUGAUCACUAAAUUUGAUAUCAGGAAUAGAGUGGGGUUUUGAAGAGUGCACUGGAUUCCCAAAGAUCUACUGGCAGCUCAUAGCUCUGGUCUGCUCACAGAGCUUUUAGAAUUGUUUAUAGUGCACAAAAAGAAUACUAAUAUGAUUGCAGUCUUCUAAAACAAGUCUAGUUACAUGGAUAAGUAAGAGAGAACAAACAGUAGAUUUCAGGCACCUCAGAUCAAUGGUAUAUACUUUAAAAAAAAAAAAAAACCUGCUUGAGAUCCAUUGCCUAGGCUAGAUCAUAGGGAAAUUUGUAGGUGGGAGCAAGGGUGGCAACAGAUCUUGGCAAACAAACUUCUGCAGAGGGAAAGAAAAACAAUAAAACAAAUUUCUUAGAACAUAUCAUCUUCAGUGGAGGUCUUCUAGUCUAGAGAAUGACUUCAUGGUUGGUUUCCAUUUUGACAAUAAUUUUCCCACUUCAUACCACCACCUAGUGAUCUUGCCUACCUCUGACGCCUUGAUCCUUAAGUCUUCUUUCAUUCAUUUUACUCUCUUCAUCUUUUUAUCUUUUCCUUUGCUUCUACUUUGCCUACUCCAGAUCUCCUCCCAUCCUGCUUGUGCUUUUCCAUUUGUGCUCUUCCAUAAGGGAAGAACCAUCAUUUAUCCAGUAACACAUCUUCAUUUUCCUAGAUGUUAAAUUCUUAAGUGUUUUUAUUGAUGCCUUUAGAGGUUGCCAACCCUCUAGUGAAAUUGGAAAACCUAUUGUGAUACUACAGUUAAAAAGGAUUGUGUACUAGGGAUAGAAAAAAUCACUGUGUACUUAUCAUUUAUAUUAUGUAAAAUUAUAUAUGGGAAACCUUAAAUUUCUUGAAAAAACAAAAAGCAUUUCCAAAUCAUGUACCUUCAAGAAAGCUUAACCAGGUUUGGGACAACAGAAGGGUCCUGGAAUAAGAAAUAUAUUCUUAGGGAGGAAAAUAACCAAAUCUCACAUUAGGCAUAUAGAGAAUAACAAUUAGCAUUAGGCAAUGAAGGCAUUUCAAGAUUAUACAUGUUUAGGACAAUAUAUAUAUAUAUAUUCAUAUUAAAAUAGCAAAGAGCUUCAUUUUCUUUUUGAGAUUUUUCCCUCACUUUAAAAAAAAAAUUUGUCUAUGAGAAUUUCUCCAAAGGUUUCCUAGAAACCAUGAGGUUUAUAGCCAACAUAAACCCAUAUGCAGUUUUUUGUGCUGUGAUAAAAUUUCAGAAUUUGUCAAAUUUGUUUACUCUGAUUUUAUCGCCCUCACUCUGUUUAUCCUUCUCUGUGUGAGCCUUUAUGUGACAACACUGCAUGUGUUUUGUGAUGCUUCCCUUCACUGGCUGCAAUCUUGUGGCCAUAGUUACUAUGACCCUUUAGAAUGUCUGGGCUCAGUGCAACUUGAAUGCCUAUCUCAGUGGCUAUUUCUGCUUUCACCUCCCAAUUAAACCAGAUCCUUCUUUUGCUUUAUACAAAGUAUUUGUUCCUAUCUUUCUGCUCCCAGCUUUUACCCACACUUUGCUUUUACCCUUACCUAUCCCUUCUCUUCCAAGCACUUUUCUUCCAUUACCUGAGGGUAUCUCAGUGUGUUCUCAAACACCUGCCAACUAGACUUCAUUCUUCUUGUUUUUACUCCAUAGCACUAAAUGAGGAUUAUCUGUUUCAGUCUAUUUAUACUAAAGGAAUGUAGAAGUAACUCAAAUAUAAAAAAGAAGAAGUGAUAGGAACAUUUAAUAAAACCAAAAUACAUAGCAAAUACAUAUGUCUCAUUUUUAAAUAAUAUGUGACAGGCAAAAUUCUAACAAAUGUUUUUUUUUAUUAAGAGGAAAGUUCAUAUAAUGAUGAAGUUUCCUAGGAAUUGAAAAUAAGAUUGUUGGGGUGGGGUAAUAGAUAUAUUAACACCAGGAAGUGAUGAAAGUAUGUUAUAUUAAGUCAGUUUUGCACUUGGAUCUGACAUAAUUUUCUUAUAUACAUAUAUGAAUAUUCCACAGUGAAUCUCACCAUCAUGUACAUCCACUAGUCUAGGGUCAUAAUUAGAAUAAGAUAUAUUCCAUGCUUGUAUAAUUAUAUCAAAAUGGAUUCUACUGUCAUGUAUAACUAAAAAGAGCCAAUAAAAUAAAAAAUAAAUUCUAAAUUUAUUGCAUAAAAGUUAUUAUAUAAAGAAGAACUUUAAAUUAUAACUAAAAACUCUUCCCUUUUCUUAAAUCGUUCUGAUUUCUUCUCUUUUUUCCCUACCUUUUAACUUAACUUUCCUUUUUUCCCCCCUAUCCUUUAAGAUGAUGUUUCUCAAAACAUUGCCUUUGACAGCCUAUAUCAAAAUCACCUAGUUUGUGAAAAAUAUAUAAUCUCUGGCUUCAUCUAAACUUAUUGAAUGAGAAUCCUUGAUGGUGAUAAACAUCCAAUGUUUUAAAAAUUGAGUGAUUAAGUUAUAUACAAGGACCACUACUUGAAAGGACAUAUUACAUUAGAUUAUGUCUUCAGCUUCUCAAAGCUGCUUUGACAAAUAUAUUCCAUUCUGUAGAUCUAGGCUGCUACUUCUUAGUAAAGGACUCCAAGCUCCUUUUAUUUUCUGACUGCUUUCCCACAGUCCCAACUGUUUAUAUUAGUAAGCCCAUCUGGUACUAUAAGAGAGUAGUCUUCAUUAUUAAAAUAAGAUCUAAACUCUCCAAAUGCUCAGUGAAGAAGACCUAAGGGAGCUGUAUCUUUAGGUGGAGAAAAUGGCAAAAGUAAUACCAACUGUCUUUUUCUCUGUUUCACUGUCCCUUUUGAGGUUUUUUCCAUUUUUGUCAUCAAAGCUGCUACCUUCUUGUCCCCCCUCCCCACUUUAAAUCUCAGAAACACUAUACUACUAUAAUGGUUAAAUGCAUGGAUUUAAGUAUUUGCUCUGCCAUUUACUAGCAAUAGAAUUUGGAGGUAAGUUAGUUUAUUUCUAUAAAUCUAAAGUUUCUAUAAAACAGGAAUUAAAUAAUAUGAAUUAGGAUUUUGAUUUUGGAAUUAAAUAAGUAGCACAUUUUAAACAUUUAUUAUAGGUCCUAGCAAUUAAAAAGUGAUCAAUUAAUGUUAGCUAUUAUUUGUAAUAAAAGCAAGGAGAGAUUUUGCAUCCUUUAUAUAUAUUGGAUAGAGCCAGAUACUGUGGCACACAACUGUAACCCCAGUUACUCAGGAGGCUGAAGCAGAAGGAUAGAAUGCCUGAGAUCAGCCUAGGCAAUGACCUUCUCCCAAAGUAAAAUUUUAGAAAAAGAGCUAGGGACAUAUCUUAAUGGUAGAGUGUUUGCCUAGCAUGCGUGAGGUCCUGGGUUCAGUCCCACUAUUGAAAAAAAAAAAAGAUAAAAGAUAAAUUAAAAUUUUC
rnacentral:lncRNA from 1 species